rnacentral:rRNA from 1 species
AUUGAACGCUGGCGGCAGGCCUAACACAUGCAAGUCGAGCGGAUGAAGGGAGCUUGCUCCUGGAUUCAGCGGCGGACGGGUGAGUAAUGCCUAGGAAUCUGCCUGGUAGUGGGGGAUAACGUCCGGAAACGGGCGCUAAUACCGCAUACGUCCUGAGGGAGAAAGUGGGGGAUCUUCGGACCUCACGCUAUCAGAUGAGCCUAGGUCGGAUUAGCUAGUUGGUGGGGUAAAGGCCUACCAAGGCGACGAUCCGCAACUGGUCUGAGAGGAUGAUCAGUCACACUGGAACUGAGACACGGUCCAGACUCCUACGGGAGGCAGCAGUGGGGAAUAUUGGACAAUGGGCGAAAGCCUGAUCCAGCCAUGCCGCGUGUGUGAAGAAGGUCUUCGGAUUGUAAAGCACUUUAAGUUGGGAGGAAGGGCAGUAAGUUAAUACCUUGCUGUUUUGACGUUACCAACAGAAUAAGCACCGGCUAACUUCGUG